UCUAUUAGGUGUCUUCUAUGAUUUUCUUGUAAUUUUAUUUCUAUACCUUAAUUAAUGUGUGCUGGUUUCAAUAAUUCUCUCUCAAAAAAAGAUCUUACUUUCUUAAUAUAAUUAUUGCCAUCAAUCCUAAGAUGUUGAUGUAGACCGCCUCAAUUGGUUUGUGAGGCGAUGAACAAAGGAUGAGAGCUUGUUGGGAUUGACUCUGAUCGGACCCUCCAAUUCUUAAAUUAUGAAUAUGAUAGUUGAUGUUAGACUAAGAUACUAAUUUCUCACAGGUUGUGUUGUUAGAAAAUUUGGAUUUUAUGUGGUUAACAUAACUUGAUUGAUUUU
rnacentral:lncRNA from 1 species